AGAGUUUGAUCCUGGCUCAGGAUGAACGCUGACAGAAUGCUUAACACAUGCAAGUCUACUUGAACUUCGGUUUGGGUGGCGGACGGGUGAGUAACGCGUAAAGAACUUGCCUCACAGUUAGGGACAACAUUUGGAAACGAAUGCUAAUACCUGAUAUUAUGAUUUUAGGGCAUCCUAGAAUUAUGAAAGCUAUAUGCGCUGUGAGAGAGCUUUGCGUCCCAUUAGCUAGUUGGAGAGGUAACGGCUCACCAAGGCGAUGAUGGGUAGCCGGCCUGAGAGGGUGAUCGGCCACAAGGGGACUGAGACACGGCCCUUACUCCUACGGGAGGCAGCAGUGGGGAAUAUUGGACAAUGGACCAAGAGUCUGAUCCAGCAAUUCUGUGUGCACGAUGAAGUUUUUCGGAAUGUAAAGUGCUUUCAGUUGGGAAGAAAAAAAUGACGGUACCAACAGAAGAAGUGACGGCUAAAUACGUGCCAGCAGCCGCGGUAAUACGUAUGUCACAAGCGUUAUCCGGAUUUAUUGGGCGUAAAGCGCGUCUAGGUGGUUAUGUAAGUCUGAUGUGAAAAUGCAGGGCUCAACUCUGUAUUGCGUUGGAAACUGUGUAACUAGAGUACUGGAGAGGUAAGCGGAACUACAAGUGUAGAGGUGAAAUUCGUAGAUAUUUGUAGGAAUGCCGAUGGGGAAGCCAGCUUACUGGACAGAUACUGACGCUAAAGCGCGAAAGCGUGGGUAGCAAACAGGAUUAGAUACCCUGGUAGUCCACGCUGUAAACGAU
rnacentral:rRNA from 1 species